UCUGCCCUUCCUCUAGCCCAAUCACCACAACAAUUAUAUAUCAACCAAAUCCAUUACCUCACUUAAACCAAAACAUUCUAACUCUACCCUAGUAUAGGCGAUAGAAAAGGAUCUCUGGCGCAAUAGAGCCAUUGUACCGUAAGGGAAAGAUGAAAUAACAAUGAAACACCACAAGCAAAAAACAGUAAAGACUAACCCUUGUACCUCUUGCAUCAUGAUUUAGCAAGAACAAUCAAGCAAAGCGAACUAAAGUUUGUCCUCCCGAAACCCAAGCGAGCUACUUGCGAGCAGCUAAAACUGAGCGAACCCGUCUCUGUUGCAAAAGAGUGGGAUGACUUGCCAGUAGUGGUGAAAAGCCAAUCGAGCUGGGUGAUAGCUGGUUACCUGCUAAACGAAUCUUAGUUCCACCUUAACCCGCCCCAAAGACACCAUGCCUAACCUUUAUACGUUGGGGUUAAGAGCAAUUCGAUGGAGGUACAGCUCCCUCGAAAAAGAAUACAACCUCCCCUAGCGGAUAACAUUUUUUCCUUUCCCCCACUGUGGGCCUUCAAGCAGCCAUCAACAAAAGAGUGCGUCAAAGCUCCUCAUACUAAAAAUUCAAAAACCCAUUAGACUCCCUUCUCCAAAACAGGUUAACCUAUGACCAUAGAAGAAUUAAUGCUAAAAUGAGUAACUUGGGAACCCCCCCUCCCCUUAGCGCUAACUUACAUUUACACAUUAUUAACAAACCCAAACUUUUAUACCCACACUAAAACAAGAACCCGUAUAACUUAACUUGUUAAACCAACACUGGAGCGCUCACAGGAUGAUUAAAAUCUGCAGAAGGAACUCGGCAAACCAAAGACCCGACUGUUUCCCAAAAACAUAGCCUUCAGCAAACCAACAAGUAUUGAAGGUGAUGCCUGCCCAGUGACCCAUAACGUUCAACGGCCGCGGUAUCCUAACCGUGCGAAGGUAGCGCAAUCAAUUGUCUCAUAAAUCGAGACCUGUAUGAAUGGCUAAACGAGGUCUUAACUGUCUCCUACAGAUAAUCAGUGAAAUUAGUAUUCUUGUGCAAAAACAAGAAUGUGACCAUAAGACGAGAAGACCCUGUGGAACUUUAAAAUCACGACCACCCUAAGACCAACACCCACCCAAUGGGAUUACUCAAAUAGCCCCUGGUCGACAUUUUUCGGUUGGGGCGACCUUGGAGAAAAAUAAAUCCUCCAAACCUAAAGACCACAUCUCUUCACCAAGACCAACCCCUCAAAGUACCAACAGCAACUAGACCCAAUAUAAUUGAUCAAUGGACCAAGCUACCCCAGGGAUAACAGCGCAAUCUCCUCCAAGAGCCCAUAUCGACAAGGAGGUUUACGACCUCGAUGUUGGAUCAGGACAACCUAAUGGUGCAGCCGCUAUUAAGGGUUCGUUUGUUCAACGAUUAACAGUCCUACGUGAUCUGAGUUCAGACCGGAGCAAUCCAGGUCGGUUUCUAUCUAUGCAUAUACUCCUCCCAGUACGAAAGGACCAGAGAAGUGGGGUCAAUACAACAAGCACACCCCAACCUUAUAAGCAAUGAACUCAACUCAAUUGCCAAAAACACCCCCCCCCACACUCAACUCCUAAAAAAGGACCCA
rnacentral:rRNA from 1 species